AGGAUUCCCCUAGUAACUGCGAGUGAAGCGGGAAAAGCUCAAAUUUAAAAUCUGGCGGUCUUUGGCCGUCCGAGUUGUAGUCUGGAGAAGUGCUUUCCGCGCUGGACCGUGUAUAAGUCUCUUGGAACAGAGCGUCAUAGAGGGUGAGAAUCCCGUCUUUGACACGGACUACCAGUGCUUUGUGAUGCGCUCUCAAAGAGUCGAGUUGUUUGGGAAUGCAGCUCAAAAUGGGUGGUGAAUUCCAUCUAAAGCUAAAUAUUGGCGAGAGACCGAUAGCGAACAAGUACCGUGAGGGAAAGAUGAAAAGCACUUUGGAAAGAGAGUUAAACAGUACGUGAAAUUGCUGAAAGGGAAACGCUUGAAGUCAGUCGCGUUGUCCGGAACUCAGCCUUGCUUUCGCUUGGUGCACUUUCCGGAUGACGGGUCAGCAUCGAUUUUGACCGUCGGAAAAGGGCUGGAGUAAUGUGGCACCUCCGGGUGUGUUAUAGACUCUGGUCGCAUACGACGGUUGGGAUCGAGGAACGCAGCGCGCCGCAAGGCAGGGGUUCGCCCACUUUCGCGCUUAGGAUGCUGGCAUAAUGGCUUUAAACGACCCGUCUUGAAACACGGACCAAGGAGUCUAACAUACCUGCGAGUGUUUGGGUGGAAAACCCGAGCGCGUAAUGAAAGUGAAAGUUGAGAUCCCUGUCGUGGGGAGCAUCGACGCCCGGACCUGACGUUCUCUGACGGAUCCGCGGUAGAGCAUGUAUGUUGGGACCCGAAAGAUGGUGAACUAUGCCUGAAUAGGGUGAAGCCAGAGGAAACUCUGGUGGAGGCUCGUAGCGAUUCUGACGUGCAAAUCGAUCGUCAAAUUUGGGUAUAGGGGCGAAAGACUAAUCGAACC
rnacentral:rRNA from 1 species